CAUUUAAGGGCUGACUGCCACUGGGGAUGGGUCUGUUUUUGGAGAUCCUUUCUUUUGGAGUUUUCUAUUGUGAGCCUAGGAUAUGGAAGAAGAGGGCUGUAUGUGUCUAUUCCCUUCCUCUGAUGAAAGGAGAACCAUCGGAAAAAUAUCUUGCAGACAGAAAUCAAUUUCCUGAAAUUUGGAGCUGGUGUUGGGACUACAGGAAGCUCAGAAGCAGCACCAAUCGCAUCUCCAAUCAACAAAGCAACCUGCUUCAUGGAAAUAGGGCAAUGAAAACAUCCAAAAGACUUCAUAUUUUAUCCACAUUUGUAAAUGAGGAAACAUGAAAGAAUUUGAGAGGCAUAUGGAUGAUCUGCAUGCAUGCAUACUCAUGUAUUUCACAUGCACAGAACAUAUACUUCAUAUGUUGACAUGGAAUGGCAUCUGCAAUCUGAAUUUGAUGCUUAUUGGUUGUUUUCACUCUUCAAAUUAACUGACUUGUGCAUUAAUCAAUACCAAAGAUGCCCAGGUAUUUCCCUACCACUUUGAAGAAAUCAUGCUUUCCACAAUCCCAUCUUUGAAUAUUUGUUUCUUUUCACUGCAAUGUCCUGUGUUUUAUCACUUAAAUGCAUGUGCUGUAACAAAAUACGUAUUUUCUAAAAAACACCUUCAUCCUUAAUCAGAACUGCUAUAAUUUCUGUUGCAAGAAACAGAGAUAAAUCCUUCUGAAGUUAUUUUAUAGUGUUCUAUUGAUGGUUGGACUAGAUAGUCUUAUUGGUCUUUCCAACCUUAAUGAUUCUAUGAUUCUACCAUUCCGUCCUCUCUCAUCUGACUCCAUGCUGAAGAGACUCUGACUGAUUUAUCUCUUCUCCCGUGGAAACCACCUCAUAUUCUUGAUGAUCUUACUGCCUUUCUCUUCUAUAGUUCUAGAUGACAGAUUUAUGGAAAUGAGAAGAACUUGAAAUGAAAGCAGUGCUCCAAAUGUGGAUUUCUCACAGAUUCUAUGCAGUAGUUUGUAGCGCUGUUUGACUAUGCUGUUGGGUGGUCUAUUUCUCUUGUUGUAAUUUCUCAUGUUUAUCAUUGCAAAUCUUCUUCGAUAACAUUUGUCCAAACUACCCAAACUGUUCCUUCAGUAACCAGAUCAGUUCUUAGCCCUUACUAAGACAUGAUUCCUAUUUCUGGUGUGCUUGGAAAAAAAGUACUUUAUUGUUUUGUUUGUUACCUUGCCUUUAUAUCUAACCAUACCACAAUUUACACUUCACUUCCACCUUCCUUCUACAGAUUUCACUCCUACAAUUUAAUGACUAUGUUUUUAAUUCCCGAGAGUCUCAUUUACUCCUGUUCAGCAAUGCUAGCUUCUUUUUCCAAGUGUAGAAGUAGAAUGACACUCUUUUUAAUUGAUUUAGAUUUACAUUGUUACUAAGCAUCACACAGAAACGUGCUGCAAGACUCCAUGAUACCAUUAAGCAUUUUAGUCUACAACUAAUCCUUUUACUUAACCUUUCAAACUGAGAAACACUGUGGUGGAUAUUCUGCAUGGCAUCUCUUUAUUAGAGCAGAACUCUUGCAUAUCCUCACUGGUCUUCCCAUCACUGUAUGCUGUGUGUGUACUUGCAGUGCCUCAGUAGCAUUGUAAUACUACGUAAUUAGUUUGUCCCUUCAGAGAAGAUCAGAAGGACAAACACUGAAUGUAUAAAUAAAACUGUAUAAGUAUCAGAGCUGCAUACUCACAACAAUGUACUUAGAAAAGAGAUGCUGCAACUGAAAAUCAUUCUUUCCUCAGCAGUGCAUAUUAAAAGAUCUGCCUGCCAGAAAUCUGUUUCUCCUCAAAAGGACUGGUCAACAUAUUCACCCUCUCCUAAUGCUGUCUGUUUCCUCCUUUCUGCUUUGCUUCCAAGACUUACUGUUCCUUUAUGAGAAUUCCAUGGCAGCACUGAACUCAGUGGAAACUGCCACAGGGAUGGCAGCCCCUGAAAGUUAUGGGCAUGCUGAUGCAAAAUGUUGCUACUGAAGAAUCAUAAAGAUUGGAAAAGACCUCUAAGAUCAUCUAGUCCAACCAUCAACUUGGUACUGAACAUAAAAAAUAACUUCAGAAGUUAUAACUACCAUGCCACUAAACCAUGUCCUUCAGUGCCACAUCUACACAUUUCUUGAACAAUUACAGGAACUCUGCCAUUUCCCUGGGCAGACUGCUUCAAGACUCCAUCACUCUUUCUGAUAAUAAAUUUUUCCUAAUAUCCAACCUGAACCUCCCCUUAUGUAACUAAAGGCCAUAAUCUCUCGUCCUUUUGCUGUUACCUCAAAGAAGCCACUUAAAACAUAAUAUAUUUUAAUGGUGAAGGUAUUUUUAUCUAAUUUCACAUAAAACUGAGAACAGAAUAAAAACAAAGAUUGAGUAAAUAUAUACAACAUAUAGAAUAAAAUAUGAGUCUAAAUAAUGCAGCUGAAAUGCACCAUUGCUCCUCACCCACAGAACAUAGUAACAGUACAAAGUUAGCAGAGAAAAAUCAGAAUUCAUUUUAAGGAGAAGAAUCAAGCUGAGAGAGGUAUCUUUAACCAUUUAGAAACAAAAAAUAGGACUUUUUUUUUAAUUUUAAGUCAAGUGAAAUCAGUCACAUUUAAGCUGUUGAGCUCUAGCCCUGCUUUUUCUAUCAGUCACUAUGUUUUGCAUUUCCCUCUUUAUUUUCUGUCAUACAAUCUCCUGUGACUAUGGAAACAUCCAGUUCCUAUCAUCUGUAUUUAUGUGCUAAGAUAUUACAGCUAGAAACAUACUGACUUACUCAAUUUUGAGUGGAAGUAUUUUGGAAAAUAACCCCUUAAAAUGUCACACCAAAAAAGCUUUAAAAGUUUUUGCCAUUGACUUCAAAGGGUACACAGAAUUUAUGGGCAGAAAGUGUGUCAUAAGCAUGAUAAAAAUAAAUGUCUUCUUAGUCUAAAAAAUUCUACUUUUUU